rnacentral:rRNA from 1 species
UACGACGAGCGGCGAAACGGGGGUGAGUAAACAACGUGAGUAAACCCUGCCCCCAGACACUGGGAUAACCAAGCUGGAAACAGCUGCUAAUACCGGAUAUGAACUCCUCGGCAUCGUAGAGGUUGGAAAGCUCCGGCGGUCUGGGAUGGACUCGCGGCCUAUCAGCUUGUUGGUGAGGUAACGGCUCACCAAGGCUUCGACGGGUAGCCGGCCUGAGAGGGCGACCGGCCACACUGGGACUGAGAUACGGCCCAGACUCCUACGGGAGGCAGCAGUGGGGAAUAUUGCACAAUGGGCGCAAGCCUGAUGCAGCAACGCCGCGUGCGGGAUGACGGCCUUCGGGUUGUAAACCGCUUUCAGCAGGGACGAAGCGCAAGUGACGGUACCUGCAGAAGAAGCACCGGCCAACUACGUGC